CACACGCACACACGCUAGCCGAAUCCCCAUCCCCAUCAUGUCAUACUGCAAGAUCGAGGCCCCGUACCCGACGGCAGAGGCCGGCGAGAAGCGGAUCAUCUUUGCCCUUGACCCCAAGGGCGAUGAGGCGGAGCAGGAGCAGUACAUGCUGCAGCUUAUCCCUGGCCGUGUGUUGGAAAUGUCGCGCAACGACGCCGCGAAUCAUCAGACGCUCGGGGGCAGCAUUGAGCAGCACACAGUAGAGGGUUGGGGUGCCAAGUUCUUCCACGUGAAACUGGCGAAGCAGGCCGCCUCCACGCUCAUGCACGUCCACGAUGAGGACCACAGCGAGAAGGUUCGCAAGUUCGUCGCCAUGCCCAACGCACCCUUGUUCCCGUACAGAAGCCGCUGCCCGGUCGUGGUGUAUCUACCCAACGAUGCGGAGCUGCGCUACGGCAUCUGGUGCGGAGGUCAGCAGAUGCAGGCGGUCACGGAGUAAGACAUCUGCUUUCUAGCUCGCUCGCUCGUUGUGUUUAUCACCUUAGCGAUCGUCCGCUGGGCUUCAUUGUUCACGACCUCAUCCUCUUCCCUUCUCCCCUCCUGACUUGUCGCUCUGUCGGCAUCUCUGUGCUUGUGUGCCACUAGACAGGGCACCUCUCGCCUCUUCUCAUUCUCCACACCCCCUAACCCCCUACCAGCUCAUCAGCCACCUCACCCUGCGCCGCGCAAUUCUUUGCGCUCUUCCCCUGACUCUGCACCUCAUAAGGAUUAUUUUUUUUUGACGCCUGCGCGCUUGCUUCCUCGCCCUUUUUCUUCUGCAGCUCUGUAAUAUCGUGCGUCUCUGUCUGUGUCUGUGUGUGCGUCCGUGUCUUUCCUCCGCAGUCGCGUUCACGGCCAAAGUGUGGUUCCUCUCUUCGUCUUCUGCUCUUCUCAUCGCUUCCACGUAGAGCUGCGUGGGCUGUGCCGCAGUGUGUGUGUGUGUGUGUGUGUGCUGGGCCCCGGUGUGCUCCCUCCCCUCUUCAUCUCCUCACUGACCUGUUUUUUUUUUUUUUGACUUAUCAACUCUUCUUCAUCGUUUCUCCCUCCCUCUCUCUCUAUCUGUGGUGGGCUUGGUGCAGACACACAGGCGCACACACGCAGACAGAGAGAGGGAGAGCAGACACACGCACACACACACGCGCGUAAGCAUAUAUAUAUAUAUAUAUGAAUGCAUAUGAGCACAGAGAGAGAGCCUCCCUCUCGUCGGUUGAUGGCUCAUCCUUUUCUUCCCUUUAAAGAGCGUGCGCAGGCCUGAAGAAUGCCACCCCGCCCCUCCCCUUCUCAGCCCCCCGCACUACAUGCACAAGGAACGACAAGAAAGAGGAAAAGCGAGGGAGAAGUGAUGAUGAAGCAACUGAAAAAGAACGGAAGAACAACGGGGAUGCGCGCGCGCUCCCCCCCCCCGCCCGCCACGAGGGACCCGCGCAGCCACGGCAGAGUCGAACACAUAAGCAUCUACGCCAUAGCAUCGCUUUUGUCUCCUUGGGUUAUCGAUGCAUUAACCUCGACUAGCCUGCCCCACCCUGCAUUCAGCAACAUGCCUAUGCGUGUCGUGCCGUGAUGUGUGCACAAAAGAGGGGAGGAGGCCCAUGGCUUUGAUGCAGGGAGGGAGGUAAAGCAAGCGAUCACGAUACACGAUCGGUGGCACGUGCGCACUGCCGCUGCCCAGGUGGUGCGAGGAGACCCACAUUGAUGCACGUCAGCAUUCACAGGGGGUCUCUUUGUGGAGUUUCUCUUUCGACUCG
rnacentral:misc_RNA from 1 species